rnacentral:rRNA from 1 species
UGGGGAAUAUUGGACAAUGGGCGCAAGCCUGAUCCAGCGACGCCACGUGAAUGAUGAAGGCCUUAGGGUUGUAAAGUUCUUUUAGUGGAGAAGAUAAUGACGGUAUCCACAGAAAAAGUCCCGGCUAACUUCGUGCCAGCAGCCGCGGUAAUACGAAGGGGGCAAGCGUUACUCGGAAUUAUUGGGCGUAAAGCGUGCGCAGGCGGUUUCAUACGUUGAAAGUGAAAGCCUUUGGCUCAACCAAAGAAUUGCUUACAAAACGGUGGAACUAGAGUAUUAGAGAGGAUAGAGGAAUUCCUGAUGUAGGGGUGAAAUCCGUAGAUAUCAGGAAGAAUAUCGAAGGCGAAGGCAUCUAUCUGGCUAAAUACUGACGCUGUUGCACGAAAGCGUGGGGAGCAAACAGG